rnacentral:rRNA from 1 species
UAUUAUUUAAAAUGUAAAUAAAUUUAUUAAAGUAGUAAUAGUUAUGUUCUUGAAACUUAAAAAAUUUGGCGGUAUUUUAAUCUUUCCAGAGGAACCUGUUUUGUAAUCGAUAAUCCACGAUGGACCUUACUUAAUUUUGUAAUCAGUUUAUAUACCGUCGUUAUUAGAAUAUUUUAUAAGAAUAAUAAUAUUCAAUAAUUUUUAAAAAAAUAUAUAUCAGAUCAAGGUGUAGCUUAUAAUUAAGUAAUAAUGGGUUACAAUAAAUUUAUUUAAACGGAUAAAAUUAUGAAAAAAUUUUUGAAGGUGGAUUUGGUAGUAAAAUUAUAAAGAUAAAUAAUUUGAUUUUAGCUCUAAAAUAUGUACACAUCGCCCGUCGCUCUUAUUAAUAAGGUAAGAUAAGUCGUAACAUAGUAGAUGUACUGGAAAGUGUAUCUAGAAUGA